rnacentral:rRNA from 1 species
CGUGAGUGAUGAAGGCCUUCGGGUCGUAAAGCUCUGUCAAGUGGGAAGAAACUGUAAAAUGUUAAUACCAUUUUCACUGACGGUACCACUGAAGGAAGCACCGGCUAACUCCGUGCCAGCAGCCGCGGUAAUACGGAGGGUGCAAGCGUUAUUCGGAAUUAUUGGGCGUAAAGGGCGCGUAGGCGGCCUUUUAAGUCAGAUGUGAAAGCCCGGGGCUUAACCCCGGAAGUGCAUUUGAAACUAAAGGGCUUGAGUAUGGGAGAGGGAAGUGGAAUUCCUGGUGUAGCGGUGAAAUGCGUAGAUAUCAGGAGGAACACCGGUGGCGAAGGCGACUUCCUGGACCAAUACUGACGCUGAGGCGCGAAGGCGUGGGUAGCAAACAGGAUUAGAUACCCUGGUAGUCCACGCAGUAAACGGUGAACACUAGGUGUAGCGGGUAUUGACCCCUGCUGUGCCGCAGCUAACGCAUUAA